rnacentral:rRNA from 1 species
AUUGAACGCUGGCGGCAGGCUUAACACAUGCAAGUCGAACGAGUGGCGGACGGGUGAGUAAUGAUUGGGACUCUAGGUUAUGGAGGGGGAUAAGUACGGGAAACUGUAGCUAAUACCGCCUACCAUAGCAUGGGCCGAAGUGGGAUUAGGUAGUGGGUGAGGUAAAGGCUAACCAAGCCGACGAUCUGUAGCUGGUCUGAGAGGAUGACCAGCCACACUGGAACUGAGACACGGCCCAGACUCCUACGGGAGGCAGCAGUGGGGAAGAUUGCGCAAUGGGGGCAACCUGAUACAGCCAUGCCGCGUGAAUGAAGAAGGUCUUCGGGUUGUAAAGUUCUUUCGGUAGCGAGGCGUUACCUACAGAAGAAGCACCGGCUAACUCCGUGCCAGCAGCCGCGGUAAUAC